rnacentral:rRNA from 1 species
AUUGAACGCUGGCGGAAUGCUUUACACAUGCAAGUCGAGCGGCAGCGCAGGGGCAACCCUGGCGGCGAGCGGCGAACGGGUGAGUAACAUAUCGGAACGUACCCCGUCGUGGGGGAUAACUAUCCGAAAAGGAUAGCUAAUACCGCAUACGACCUGAGGGUGAAAGCGGGGGACCGUAAGGCCUCGCGCGAUGGGAGCGGCCGAUAUCGGAUUAGCUAGUUGGUGAGGUAAAGGCUCACCAAGGCGACGAUCCGUAGCUGGUCUGAGAGGACGACCAGCCACACUGGAACUGAGACACGGUCCAGACUCCUACGGGAGGCAGCAGUGGGGAAUUUUGGACAAUGGGGGCAACCCUGAUCCAGCCAUUCCGCGUGAGUGAAGAAGGCCUUCGGGUUGUAAAGCUCUUUCAGCAGGAACGAAACGGUGGUCCCUAAUACGGGCUACUAAUGACGGUACCUGAAGAAGAAGCACCGGCUAACUACGUG